rnacentral:rRNA from 1 species
CAAUAGCGUAUAUUUAAGUUGUUGCAGUUAAAAAGCUCGUAGUUGGAUUUCGGAUGGGACUUGCCGGUCCGUCGUUUCGAUGUGCACUGGCCAGUCCUAUCUUGUUGUCGGGGACUAGCUCCUGGGCUUCACUGUCCGGGACUAGGAGCUGACGAGGUUACUUUGAGUAAAUUAGAGUGUUCAAAGCAAGCCUACGCUCUGAAUACAUUAGCAUGGAAUAACACGAUAGGACUCUGGCUUAUCUUGUUGGUCUGUGAGACCAGAGUAAUGAUUAAGAGGGACAGUCGGGGGCAUUCGUAUUUCGUUGUCAGAGGUGAAAUUCUUGGAUUUAUGAAAGACGAACUUCUGCGAAAGCAUUUGUCAAGGAUGUUUUCAUUAA